UACGUAGGGGGCAAGCGUUGUCCGGAAUCAUUGGGCGUAAAGAGCGCGUAGGCGGUCCGGUAAGUCCGCUGUGAAAGUCAAGGGCUCAACCCUUGAAUGCCGGUGGAUACUGUCGGGCUAGAGUCCGGAAGAGGCGAGUGGAAUUCCUGGUGUAGCGGUGAAAUGCGCAGAUAUCAGGAGGAACACCGAUGGCGAAGGCAGGUCUCUGGGCCAUAACUGACGCUGAGAAGCGAAAGCAUGGGGAGCGAACAGG
rnacentral:rRNA from 1 species